rnacentral:rRNA from 1 species
GACGAACGCUGGCGGCGUGCUUAACACAUGCAAGUCGAACGGUGAGGCCCCAGCUUGCUGGAGUGGAUCAGUGGAAAAGGGGUGAGUAACACGUGAGAACCCUGCCCCUCACCGUGGUAUACGCGCUGGAAACGGCGUCUAAUACGGGAUACGAGAAGGGUCCGCAUGGGCACUUUCUGGAAAGUUUUUCGGUGGCGGCUGGGCGCGCGACCUCUCAGCUUGUUGGGGAGGGAAUGGCCAACCAAGGCGGCGACGGGUGGCCGGCCUGAGGGGUCGGACAGCCACAUUGGGGCUGAGAUGCGGCCCGGACUCCUACGGGAGGCAGCAGUGGGGAGUAUUGCACAAUGGGCGCCAGCCUGAUGCAGCGACGCCGCGUGGGGGAUGACGGCCUUCGGGUUGUACACUCCUUUCGCUAGGGACGAAGCUUUUUGUGACGGUACCUAGAUAAGAAGCACCGGCUAACUACGUG